rnacentral:rRNA from 1 species
AAAUUGAAGAGUUUGAUCAUGGCUCAGAUUGAACGCUGGCGGCAGGCCUAACACAUGCAAGUCGAACGGUAACAGGAAGCAGCUUGCUGCUUUGCUGACGAGUGGCGGACGGGUGAGUAAUGUCUGGGAAACUGCCUGAUGGAGGGGGAUAACUACUGGAAACGGUAGCUAAUACCGCAUAACGUCGCAAGACCAAAGAGGGGGACCUUCGGGCCUCUUGCCAUCGGAUGUGCCCAGAUGGGAUUAGCUUGUUGGUGGGGUAACGGCUCACCAAGGCGACGAUCCCUAGCUGGUCUGAGAGGAUGACCAGCCACACUGGAACUGAGACACGGUCCAGACUCCUACGGGAGGCAGCAGUGGGGAAUAUUGCACAAUGGGCGCAAGCCUGAUGCAGCCAUGCCGCGUGUAUGAAGAAGGCCUUCGGGUUGUAAAGUACUUUCAGC